GAGCCCGUAGCUCAGCCGGUAGAGCAUCUGACUUUUAAUCAGAGGGUCGCGGGUUCGAACCCCGCCGGGCUCACCA
rnacentral:tRNA from 1 species